rnacentral:lncRNA from 1 species
UGGGACUGAAGAAGCACUAAUGGAGGAGGGUGAAGAAUUUGAGAAAGCAUCUAAACCAACAGGACCUGGCCGCACCCACGAAAUAUGGAGGUUCCCAGGCUAAGGGUCUAAUAGGAGCUGUAGCUGCUGGCGUACACCACAGCAACAUCAACGCAGGAUCCUUAACCCACUGAGUGAGGUCAGGGAUCAGACCUGCAACCUCAUGGUUCCUAGUUGGAUUCAUUUCUGCUGCGCCAUGACAGGAACUCCUGUGUUAACUUUUUUAAAGAAACUUUCUGACAUUUAUAAACUUUAAUAUGCCUUCAUAACCUCAUGAUGAUAAAAGCAUGUCAUCCUUCAGUUUGGGAUAAUCUGUCAGUCAUCACUUUUUUUCAGAGAUUUGUUUUAUCAUCUGCAGGUUCCACCGAAACGCACAUAUCUUCCUUGUAUCUCAAAGCAUACCAUUAGCUUCUUUUUCUAAUAAUUUUCUGAAAUCAAGAUUUAUCCUGUCCAUAGUAUUUGGCUUACUUAAUGAUACCUAAUAACUCAAAGAGGAAAAAAAAAAAAGAAAUUAACUUUUUUGGUCAAACUUACGAAUAAUUUCAAACUGCCCUUAGAAAUUUUUGCUUUCUUUUUAUAGUGCUCCCAUAGUGUUUUCCUGAUGCAGAUAUCUGUUCUAAGCUAAUUUUAUUAGUUUCCACUUAUCAUAUUCGCUAGAUUUUGAAUUCUUAAAAAGUCUGUGAUUCCAUUUAAAGUCAAAUUUAAAUUUAAGCAUUUAAUUUUUAGGGGACAUGUGUGGAAUAUAAACAACAAAUGGAGGAACAAGUUGACAUCAGAACCUUGAACAUAGUUUUCUAGAUCGUAGCAGCUUUCAUCAUGAACAAAACAUGGAUUGAAAAAAUUAUGUCAGCUUGAUGGUAUUUUUGAUACAAAUUGCCUAAAUAAGAUUUCUUAGGAUUGUACUUUUGGUAAAUCCAGAAGAAAAAUGUGAUUUUAUCUAAAUAUUAAUGGAGAAUUGGAACAAAACAGAACUUUUUUCCCCUUUAUUACAGUAAGAAAUACAAAAUACUUCAAAGCAAAUUUUGAGUCAUAUCCUGCAAAAAUAUAAACAUGCCACAAAUGUUGAAAACCAUUUAGAGUAGUUUCAACACAUGCUGUCUCUAUUUGCUAACUUUCCAUGUUGGGUAUUGGAUAUUAAUAAGUGGGUAACAGACUCUUGGAAAUUUUUUUCCCCAGUGGCUUAACCUGUGUUUAAAAUAUUUUGUGAGUAUUUGAGUGAGGUAAAAGCAACAUUUAGAUUUACGUUUUUAUCCUCCCCCAAAUAAGCAAAUCAUUCUUUUGGAAUUUCCUUCUCCCUUUCCUUCUUCUGUGUUCUGGAAUGUCUUAGCAUUCCUACAUCUUGUGAAGAUUAAACCUGGAUUUGUCGGAUAAAUCUGUUCAUUAAAAAUGAAACAACAAAAAGGAAGUCUUAGGAAGAA